CUCUAUUCUCAACAGUAAAUAAACAUUUACAAAUUAAGAAUAAUAGUAAUACUUAACAUUAAGUAGUGUAUGCUCUUUGCAGCAUUUUAAGUUAUUCAACUUUGUAUUUAAGACUUCUGAACAUUUGGAUUUCCACAUCAUUUUAUAAGUGCCAGGUUCUGUUCUUGCUCCAUAGCCUCACCUGUUUAGAACAUAAUAAGUGAAUAGUACUUUUAAAACGCUGUUUAAAUCCCAUAAAUCUGAAUCUUUUGCUUCUUUCUCUGUUCAGGCAUACACUGAUUAUAGUGACUCUGUAGCACGGAGGAUGGGCUUUAUUCCUCUCCCACUAGCUGUUUUAGUUGAUAUCCCUGAAAGUGCUUAAUAGCAUCGUGCUGUUGGGGAAAUCGUGCCAGUAUGUGAAGGAAGCCAAAAUGGAAGAGAAGCUGUCGAAUCCUCCCCCAACCUGCACUCCAGGCAAGCCGUCCAGUAAAUCACAGAACAAAUGUAAACCCUCUCAAGGCCUUUCCGCAGAAGAAAACCUGUCUGCCUCCGUCACCAAACAGCCUAUUCAUCAAAAGGAAAAUAUCAUACCAUUACUUGUGACAAGCAAUUCUGAUCAGUUUUUGACAACUCCAGAUGGUGACGAGAAGGACAUAACGCAGGACAAUUCUGAAUUAAAACACAGAUCC
rnacentral:sRNA from 1 species